rfam:Phytophthora infestans T30-4 supercont1.8 genomic scaffold, whole genome shotgun sequence.
GAUGACGUAGCUCAGUGGAAGCGCACAGGGCUAUGCCUUAAAGACGCUGGUUCAAAUCCAGCUGUCGCCA